rnacentral:rRNA from 1 species
UCGAAACCUGCCCAGCAGAGCGACCAGAGAACAUGUUUAUCAUGAAUGGGGAUGAGGCGAAAGCCCCUCCUCUAGCUCGGGGAGUCGCACCGCCUAGGCGGGGCUUCCUCUCGGGCACAAUAACGAACCCCGGCGCGGUCUGCGCCAAGGAACAUGGAUGCAAGCGUGCACUUACGCAGCCGGCUUGCCGGUUGUGGACGUGGCACCAAGUCGUAUAUAACAUUAAACGACUCUCGGCAACGGAUAUCUCGGCUCUCGCAUCGAUGAAGAACGUAGCGAAAUGCGAUACUUGGUGUGAAUUGCAGAAUCCCGUGAACCAUCGAGUCUUUGAACGCAAGUUGCGCCCGAAGCCACUAGGUCGAGGGCACGCCUGCCUGGGCGUCACGCAUCGCGUCUCCCCCCACCACCUCGUGUGGGGGGGCGGAGGACGAUGGCCUCCCAUGCCUCACCUGGCGUGGAUGGCCUAAAUAAGGAGCCCCCGGUUACGAAGUGCCGUGGCAAUUGGUGGAAUACAAGGCCUAGCCUAGGAUGCAUCGUGGCCGCGCACAUUGUAGCUCUUGAGGACUCGCAGGACCCUUAACUGUUUGCCCUUAGGGGCGGCAAAACCGUU